rnacentral:rRNA from 1 species
UACGUAGGGACCGAGCGUUGUCCGGAAUCAUUGGGCGUAAAGAGCGUGUAGGCGGCCACUUAAGUCCUGCGUGAAAUCUUGCGGCUCAACCGCAAGCGGUCGUGGGAAACUGGGUGGCUAGAGUGCGGGAGAGGAGAGUGGAAUUCCUGGUGUAGCGGUGGAAUGCGCAGAUAUCAGGAAGAACACCGGUGGCGAAGGCGGGUCUCUGGGCCGUAACUGACGCUGAGGAGCGAAAGCGUGGGGAGCGAACAGG